rnacentral:rRNA from 1 species
CCUACGGGAGGCAGCAGUGGGGAAUCUUGCGCAAUGGGCGAAAGCCUGACGCAGCGACGCCGCGUGAGUGAUGAAGGCCUUCGGGUUGUAAAGCUCUGUGGGGAGAGACGAAUAAGUGCCGGCUAAUACCCUGCAUGAUGACGGUAUCUCCUUAGCAAGCACCGGCUAACUCUGU